AUCCAGCUCCAAUAGCGUAUAUUAAAGUUGUUGCAGUUAAAAAGCUCGUAGUUGGAUUUCGGAAGGUCUUUAGUGGUCCGCCCCUUCGGGGAGCGGGUCACUGGCCUCCUAUGUUCCUAACGGUCCUCAUCCGCGAGGGUGGGGAAUCAACCGCUAGGAUCGUUUACUUUGAGGAAAUUAGAGUGUUCAAAGCAGGCGUAACUCGCCUCCGAAUACGUUAGCAUGGGAUAAUGGAAUACGACUUCGGUCUUGUUUCGUUGGUUUCGCUUGGCUGAAGUAAUGAUUGAUAGGGACAGUUGGGGGCAUUAGUAUUUAGUUGUCAGAGGUGAAAUUCUAGGAUUUACUAAAGACUGACCAAUGCGAAAGCAUUUGCCAAGGAUGUUUUCAUUAAUCAAGAACGAAAGUAGGGGGAUCGAAGACGAUCAGAUACCGUCGUAGUCUCUACCGUAAACUAUGCCGACCAGGGAUCCGGAGAGUUUGCAUGGAUGACUCCCCGGGCACCUUGUGAGAAAUCAUAAGUGUUUGGGUUUUGGGGGGAGUAUGGUCGCAAGGCUGAAACUUAAAGGAAUUGACGGAAGGGCACCACCAGGAGUGGAACCUGCGGCUUAAUUCGACUCAACA
rnacentral:rRNA from 1 species